rnacentral:rRNA from 1 species
CACGUAGGGCGCGAGCGUUGUCCGGAAUUAUUGGGCGUAAAGAGCUCGUAGGCGGUGUGUCGCGUCGGCCGUGAAAACCUGCAGCUUAACUGUGGGCUUGCGGUCGAUACGGGCAUCACUGGAGUUCGGCAGGGGAGACUGGAAUUCCUGGUGUAGCGGUGAAAUGCGCAGAUAUCAGGAGGAACACCGGUGGCGAAGGCGGAUCUCUGGGCCUUACCUGACGCUCAGGCGCGAAAGCUAGGGGAGCGAACAGG